UCUGUUUGAUCAUGGCUCAGAUUGAACGCUGGCGGCAGGCUUAACACAUGCAAGUCGAGCGGUAACAUUUCUAGCUUGCUAGAAGAUGACGAGCGGCGGACGGGUGAGUAAUACUUAGGAAUCUACCUAGUAGUGGGGGAUAGCUCGGGGAAACUCGAAUUAAUACCGCAUACGACCUACGGGAGAAAGGGGGCAACUUGUUGCUCUCGCUAUUAGAUGAGCCUAAGUCGGAUUAGCUAGAUGGUGGGGUAAAGGCCUACCAUGGCGACGAUCUGUAGCUGGUCUGAGAGGAUGAUCAGCCACACCGGGACUGAGACACGGCCCGGACUCCUACGGGAGGCAGCAGUGGGGAAUAUUGGACAAUGGGGGAAACCCUGAUCCAGCCAUGCCGCGUGUGUGAAGAAGGCCUUUUGGUUGUAAAGCACUUUAAGCAGUGAAGAAGACUCUUCGGUUAAUACCCGGAGACGAUGACAUUAGCUGCAGAAUAAGCACCGGCUAACUCUGUGCCAGCAGCCGCGGUAAUACAGAGGGUGCAAGCGUUAAUCGGAAUUACUGGGCGUAAAGCGAGCGUAGGUGGCUUGAUAAGUCAGAUGUGAAAUCCCCGGGCUUAACCUGGGAACUGCAUCUGAUACUGUCAGGCUAGAGUAGGUGAGAGGAAGGUAGAAUUCCAGGUGUAGCGGUGAAAUGCGUAGAGAUCUGGAGGAAUACCGAUGGCGAAGGCAGCCUUCUGGCAUCAUACUGACACUGAGGCUCGAAAGCGUGGGUAGCAAACAGGAUUAGAUACCCUGGUAGUCCACGCCGUAAACG
rnacentral:rRNA from 1 species